AGAAAAAAAAAAAGAAAAGAUAUGGGCAGAUCCUGGAAGAUAGGAUAAGAAUGUUAGCAACUUGCCACAACCAACUUGCUAUCCAAGCCACUUUCAUCGCCAUCUUUUAUACAUAGACAAUCGUUUUCUUCACCCCACAUCACCAUCACACCAUCUAUUCUCUCUACACACACCAAUCCCACAAAACAUAGAGGAGUCCGAAGAGGGAGAUUUCUACAAUCCAACAACACUUUACUUCCCUAUCAAAAGGUUAUCUCCGCAAGUAAGGUCGGAGUAAGAAAUUCAAGUUAAAGGAACUAAACGAUGAAGGUUGAGCAGCGAAGUGGUGGAGGAAGUGCUAUUGAGACAAGACAUUUAAUUCAGUCAGAUUUU